rnacentral:lncRNA from 1 species
UCCUAUUUAGUAGGUCUUCUUGCCCGUUCAGUUCCUCUACUGGUAGUCUAGUUGUAGUUUUGAGCGGGUGAACCCAUGUUCUAUCUCGUAGUCACCUAAGCGGCAGAGUCUGUAAACUCAAAUGGUCUGAGAGUUGCCUUUGGCUUCUGAACCUCUGAAACUGGACUUACGCAAGCUACCAAGCUCCUCUUCCCCCUUCAUCACUCUCUAUCUCCGGCCCUUGCCAUUAGUUAGCUUGCACUUCCCUUGCUUGCCCUUUGAGUUUUCAAAGUCAAGGUGCCUUUCCCUUUUCCCUUUUUCUGCCUUACCUCUUACUGAAGUGAAACAACUGACUGUUGUCUACCUUUGAUUCUGUCUUCCGGGUGAAGGUCCUGCAGAGGUCUUUUUUAGUGAUCAAAAUUGAUUAGGGACAGUGAACCAUGAUGAAAGGAGCUAUUGACCUGAGUGCUUUUCUAUUUAUAUUUGAAAAGCAAGGUAGGUUAGUUAACGAAAGGGUAAGGUGAGGCUGGAAUGGGAUAUAGUAAGUGUGCCACGAGUGCUCCCUUCUAAGGCUUCUGCUUCUCUCUAAUAACGAGAAAAUGACUCUUUCAGAAAGCAAAGCUACAACUCUUCAGUCUAAGCUAUCUAAGCUAGAACUUAAGGCCGACCUCUUUUCCAGGGAUACCCCACUUCCCGGUCUAGCUUCACUAACUGUAUUCACAGCUUUCCAGAUCUCGGAACCAGAUCUACUUUCUCAUCGGCAUUCUCUAAAUGAAUUACGUUAUGGUCUUGAACUCUCGAUAUAUCAUAUGUAAUGAAUGAUCGAGGUUGUCUUUUCGGAAGAGGUGGGUGGGAGUGGGGCAAGGCAAGAAAGUAACAAUCAUACCCGAUAUUCAGAGCGAAUAAGAUAAAGUAAAGAAAGAAUUUUGGGCUAGGUUCAACGUAUGCCAGUUGAUUGAAAAAAGACUCUACUUUCAAGAUUCAAGAUUAGGUAAGUGUUCAGUGUACUAAGGUACAAGAUCGGGAAAAAAAGCGCGGAUAGCAAAUUCCUUAGGCUAGAUAGAGUGGUGGUUGUAAAUUACUAGGUAGCCAUACAACACUCGGCCCAAGCAAGGCCCAAAAGCCCAUGCCUUUUCUAUAAUAAAAGCCUCCUCAUCAACUCUCUAUCUUUCAAACCCACCUCACCGAGCUUAACGCCCUGUGGACUUUUUUACGAAGGCCUAACUUGACAGGCCCGCAGGUGAAGGUCCUGCAGAGGUCUUUUUUAGUGAUCAAAAUUGAUUAGGGACAAUGAACCAUGAUGAAAGUAGCUAUUGACCUGAGUGCUUUUCUAUUUAUAUUUGA